GGUGCGGAACGCGUAUGGAACCUACCUUUAUCAGGGGGAUAGCCCAUGGAAACGUGGAUUAAUACCCCAUAGUAUUACAUCAUUGCAUGAUGAUUUAAUUAAAGAAUUUCGGAUAGAGAUGGCCAUGCGUAUCAUUAGCUAGUAGGCGAGGUAACGGCUCACCUAGGCGACGAUGAUUAGGGGUCCUGAGAGGGAGAUCCCCCACACUGGUACUGAGACACGGACCAGACUCCUACGGGAGGCAGCAGUGAGGAAUAUUGGGCAAUGGAGGCAACUCUGACCCAGCCAUGCCGCGUGCAGGAAGACGGCCCUAUGGGUUGUAAACUGCUUUUAUACAGGAAGAACACCACCCACGUGUGGGUGACUGACGGUACUGUAAGAAUAAGGACCGGCUAACUCCGUGCCAGCAGCCGCGGUAAUACGGAGGGUCCAAGCGUUAUCCGGAAUCAUUGGGUUUAAAGGGUCCGUAGGCGGGCUAAUAAGUCAGAGGUGAAAGUUUGCAGCUCAACUGUAAAAUUGCCUUUGAUACUGUUAGUCUUGAGUUAUAGUGAAGUGGUCAGAAUAAGUGGUGUAGCGGUGAAAUGCAUAGAUAUCACUUAGAAUACCGAUUGCGAAGGCAGAUCACUAACUGUAUACUGACGCUGAGGGACGAAAGCAUGGGUAGCGAACGGGAUUAGAUACCCCGGUAGUCCAUGCUGUAAACGAUGGAUACUAGCUGUUGG
rnacentral:rRNA from 1 species